rnacentral:rRNA from 1 species
UACGGGGGGAGCAAGCGUUGUUCGGAUUUACUGGGCGUAAAGGGCGCGUAGGCGGUCAGCACAAGUCAGUUGUGAAAUCUCCGGGCUUAACUCGGAAAGGUCAACUGAUACUGUGCGACUAGAGUGCAGAAGGGGCAACUGGAAUUCUUGGUGUAGCGGUGAAAUGCGUAGAUAUCAAGAGGAACACCUGCGGCGAAGGCGGGUUGCUGGGCUGACACUGACGCUGAAGCGCGAAAGCCAGGGGAGCAAACAGG